AGUGGCGGACGGGUGAGUAACACGUGAGCAACCUGCCUUUAAGAGUGGGAUAACGGUCGGAAACGACCGCUAAUACCGCAUAAUAUACUUGUAUCGCAUGGUAUGGGUAUCAAAGAUUUAUCGCUUAAAGAUGGGCUCGCGUCUGAUUAGCUGGUUGGUGAGGUAACGGCUCACCAAGGCGACGAUCAGUAGCCGUACUGAGAGGUAGAACGGCCACAUUGGGACUGAGACACGGCCCAGACUCCUACGGGAGGCAGCAGUGGGGAAUAUUGCACAAUGGAGGAAACUCUGAUGCAGCGAUGCCGCGUGAGGGAAGAAGUAUUUCGGUAUGUAAAGCUCUAUCAGCAGGGAAGAAAUACUGACCUUACGGUCAGCAGACGGUACCUGACUAAGAAGCCCCGGCUAACUACGUGCCAGCAGCCGCGGUAAUACGUAGGGGGCAAGCGUUAUCCGGAUUUACUGGGUGUAAAGGGAGCGUAGACGGCAGCGCAAGUCUGAAGUGAAAUCCCAUGGCUUAACCAUGGAACUGCCUUGGAAACUGUGCAGCUGGAGUGCAGGAGAGGUAAGCGGAAUUCCUAGUGUAGCGGUGGAAUGCGUAGAUAUAUGGAAGAACACCAGUGGCGAAGGCGGCUGUCUGGUCUGCAACUGACGCUGAGGCUCGAAAGCAUGGGUAGCGAACAGGAUUAGAUACCCUGGUA
rnacentral:rRNA from 1 species